GCACUAGUGGUCUAGUGGUAGAAUAGUACACUGUCACGGUAUAGACCCGAGUUCGAUUCUCGUCUAGUGCA